rnacentral:rRNA from 1 species
GCACGCCUAAUAAUGCAAGUCGAACGAAGUAGCAAUACUUAGUGGCAGACGGGUGAGUAACAUGUAGGUAUCUUCCCUUCGGUGAGGAAUAACACGAGGAAACUUGUGCUAAUACCUCAUAAGUCUUUACGGAGAAAGCUUUAUGCGCCGAUGGAUGAGCCUGCACUUGAUUAGUUUGUUGGUAGGGUAAUGGCCUACCAAGACAAUGAUCAAUAGCUGAUUUGAGAGGAUGAUCAGCCACAUUGGGACUGAGACACGGCCCAAACUCCUACGGGAGGCAGCAGUAGGGAAUCUUGCACAAUGGGGGAAACCCUGAUGCAGCGAUGCCGCGUGAGUGAAGAAGGCCUUUGGGUUGUAAAGCUCUUUCGUCGGGGAAGAAAAUGACUGUACCCGAAUAAGAAGGUCCGGCUAACUUCGUGCCAGCAGCCGCGGUAAUACGAAGGGACCUAGCGUAGUUCGGAAUUACUGGGCUUAAAGAGUUCGUAGGUGGUUAAAAAAGUUGGUGGUGAAAUCCCAGAGCUUAACUCUGGAACUGCCAUCAAAACUUUUUAGCUAGAGUAUGAUAGAGGAAAGCAGAAUUUCUAGUGUAGAGGUGAAAUUCGUAGAU